CACCAGGGAAGAUUAAGCACAUUCACAUGCAGAAGAAAAUCAACGUGGGCAUAAUGAAGCCAAAGGACUUACUGAUCCUGGGAAAGGAGUUUUUAAUGGGAGUGCUGAUACAACCUUGAUUACAGUUGCAUGAGCAAUGCAUAUCAUGGACUAAGCAAGUAUCAUCAGUUCUGAUAUCAUGAAAUUAGAAAUUAGAGCUGGAGUAAUCUAAUCAGACCAGCGUGAAAGCCUAUGCAAAGAAAAUCUGCAGAACCCGUAUCCAGUGAAUUAAAGGAUAUGCAGUCAUGGUUGAUUUAAAAUGUGAAAAGCCAACUGUGACGGUACAAGAUAAACACGUUAUCAUGAAUGAGG